GAAAGAGGUGGCAUUUGCUUGCUAUUCGUACUGCAGAAAAAAUGGAGAGAAAAAAGAAAAGAUUACUUAGAGUCAUAUUGAAAUAAAUUUACAUUUAUAAUCAUUUGAACACUUAAAAUGUGAAAAGAGAAACAUAUCACUUGUAAUACUAUGCUUUAUUAUAGAUAGACUAAUAUUUAUAAACAACUAAAAACUGUUUACAACUUACGCGUUCAAAACUCUAUUGAUGUUAUAUCUGAUUUCUUCGAAAAGAACCAUGUUAUCCUCCUUGAGUUUACUUCGAAAGGCUUCCUGCCGUCUGCAACAAUUACCAGCCAAAAUGUAAGAAGACAAACAUAGGACUUGAACUGCUAUGCUUUAUUAUAAAUAGACUAAUAAUAAUAAUAAACAACUAAAAACUGUUGACAACUUACUCAUGCAAAAAUUGGCCGAAAAAUUUGAUCUCAUGCUCCGUGAACUAGCAAAGAAACGAAAAAAAUGAUCGGUAAGUAUUACAGCCAUGGGUUAAGAAUGCAAACAAUAUAGAUAUAAGAUUGAAAACCAGUAAUAGAACAUUGAUUAUGACAUAACAAAGGAGAUUAUUUUCAUGUACAAUAGGUUUAACUAAAUCAGUUCAGAUCAAAACAGCAAGAUUUACCUUCGUUGAAUUAAAAGUCUCAAUAGAAGCAAGAUUUCCAUCGAUUAAACUUAAGAGCUGUUUGUUGUGCUCCAAUAGUGCCUUUGCGGCCUCUAAAAUUGCUGCCAAAAGCAAAAUGCAAAGUUCAAAGGAGAUGCUUUAAAAAUUAAACUGGACAUGCAAAUAGAUAAGAUGCCAAGCUUAACAUUCCAAAAGAUAAAUUAUGUAUUCAAAUAUCAAAUGAUUUUAAAGCUACUAAGGAACCAACCUUCCAAAGAGAUGCCACCAUCAUUGUCCAUCCUUAACUCUUCUUGCGCAGCAGAAUCUGAUGACUUGUUUGCAUGAUAAACAACUCUUUCUGGGAGAAUGUUGAGAAUUGCUUGCGCAGAAGUGUCUGACGACUGGUUUGUAUGAUCAACAACUCUUUCUGGGA
rnacentral:lncRNA from 1 species